UACGUAGGUGGCAAGCGUUGUCCGGAUUUAUUGGGCGUAAAGAGCGCGCAGGCGGUUCGUUAAGUCCGAGGUGAAAUCUCCCGGCUCAACUGGGAGGGGUCUUCGGAUACUGGCGGACUUGAGGAGUGCAGAGGUGAGUGGAAUUCUGGGUGUAGUGGUGAAAUGCGUAGAUAUCCAGAGGAACACCAGCGGCGAAGGCGGCUCACUGGGCACCACCUGACGCUGAGGCGCGAUAGCGUGGGGGAUCAAACAGG
rnacentral:rRNA from 1 species